CCGACACAGCUUUGCGAUCUCGCCAGCAUGCAGAGUCUGUCUUCCCUAUAGAUGAUUCCAGAGACUCUGUGAGGCCACUAUUACAAGGUGAGACGCUUUGCGUUGAUUGGUGCUGCUGGACCACACUGGAGGUGCGAGUCCGCCGUGUAAUGGUUUAUGCCAUUACAAAGGAGCUGGCCUCUGUACUCAACUGGACAGGGGAAAAAAAACAAGGACCAGACAAAGCAAAAAAGGGCAUUUAAAGAGAC